rnacentral:rRNA from 1 species
CAGCAGCCACGGUAAUACGUAGGUGGCAAGCGUUGUCCGGAAUUAUUGGGCGUAAAGCGCGCGCAGGCGGAUAGGUCAGUCUGUCUUAAAAGUUCGGGGCUUAACCCCGUGAUGGGAUGGAAACUGCCAAUCUAGAGUAUCGGAGAGGGAAGUGGAAUUCCUAGUGUAGCGGUGAAAUGCGUAGAUAUUAGGAAGAACACCAGUGGCGAAGGCGACUUUCUGGACGAAAACUGACGCUGAGGCGCGAAAGCCAGGGGAGCGAACGGGAUUAGAUACCCGAGUAGUCCCUGUCUCUUAUACA